GCUGGCUGUGAUGACAAACUUGCCCUCUCUGAGAGCAGCUCUAUUAUGAGACUCAUAAACGCUCCUGAGCCACA
ensembl:snoRNA small nucleolar RNA SNORD103/SNORD85